UACAGAGGUCUCAAGCGUUGUUCGGAUUCAUUGGGCGUAAAGGGUGCGUAGGCGGCGGGGUAAGUCGGAUGUGAAAUCCCGGGGGCUCAACCCCGGAACUGCAUUCGAUACUGCCUUGCUAGAGUACUGGAGAGGAGACUGGAAUUUACGGUGUAGCAGUGAAAUGCGUAGAUAUCGUAAGGAAGACCAGUGGCGAAGGCGAGUCUCUGGACAGUUUACUGA
rnacentral:rRNA from 1 species